AACAAACGCUGGCGGCGUGCCUAACACAUGCAAGUCGUACGAGAAAGGGUCCUUCGGGGCCUGAGUAAAGUGGCGCACGGGUGAGUAACGCGUGGAUAAUCUGCCCUUCAGUUGGGAAUAACUCAUCGAAAGGUGGGCUAAUACCGAAUAAUGCUGUGAGACCUCGGUUGAUCAGCCAAAGAGAGCCUCUGCUUGCAAGCCCUCGCUGAAGGAUGAGUCCGCGUACCCAUAGCUAGUUGGUAGGGUAAUGGCCUACCAAGGCGACGAUGGUUAGCUGGUCUGAGAGGAUGAUCAGCCACACUGGAACUGAGACACGGUCCAGACUCCUACGGGAGGCAGCAGUGAGGAAUCUUGCGCAAUGGGGGCAACCCUGACGCAGCAACGCCGCGUGAGUGAGGAAGGUCUUCGGAUCGUAAAGCUCUGUCGGAUGGAAAGAACCGCAUAGGGGUAAACAGCCCCUGUGUCUGACGGUACCAUCAAAGGAAGCACCGGCUAACUCCGUGCCAGCCGCCGCGGUAACAC
rnacentral:rRNA from 1 species